CUGUGAGAGAGCGCGAGAAAACCCUUCUCGGGAUAACACUUAUUUUUGGCCUUCAUGUGACACCACUUUGGUUUCUAUGGAACUCCUAUGAAAUACUCACACACACAGAACAAUGUUUAUUUAGACAUUACAUGCACUUCACUUAACCAUAAACACUGACCUAAACAUCAAUUUUGCGCCACGUACAUUAACAGGGUAUUGCAAAAGACUCAUAUUUCAUAUUUGCCCCAAAAAAAGAAAAAAAAAUCACAUACGUGUCAAAAUAUCCUGUUCCUUCUCCUUACUAUUUAUUUGCCCUUUUCUCUGUAUCUUUCUUUUCGUAUCCCCUCUCCUCUCCUCCACUUCCUUCCUCGCCUCUUGCACCUGCGGAUGCUAUUAGCAAACAAAUAUAAAGUUAAUCCAGUGGCCUAAUCUCUUGCGUUCCACGCCCAGUCCUAUUUUCUACCGGUGUUUGAGGCCAGGAUUAAACAAUCUUUUUUUACUUUCUCUAUCGCAGCAUUUUUCAGGAGAACAUACCUACGGCUAAGUGCUGUUCACACCAUUCCAUAAAGCGUGUGUGUGUGUGUGUGUGUGUGUGUGUGUGUGUGUGUGUUACUACGAAGGCCUCCAGGGGCUCCAAGGCACUGUGAGGAUGCAGACACCAGGAACAGUGGUGCAGGAUGCUGCUUGUGCCGUAAUGGAGAGUUAUACAGUCAUUUUUGGGGAUUUUAGAGGCAAGAGUGUGAAGCUGUUGGGGCGGAAUUGGUUCGGGAUGCAAAAAGGUUAAGGGAAUUUCCUCAAUGGCAAGAAAAGGGUCGGUUUAUUGCCUCAAAUUGCUCAUGCAGGUUGGAAAUGAGUGAUUUCACAAUGUUGUGCAGGAAGUUCCUAGUGGCAGGCGGCCAAAUGCUGCUUUAAACCCCCUUCUCUGCAAUCUGAAGAUGGGUUUGCGCACAAGCCUGUGCACACCUGCCGGUGCCUAAACGCCCACACCCCCCCCCCCCCACACACACACACACACACCCACAUCGGCCGUAUUCACCGCUCCCUGGACGAGUUCACUGAUGGGGACGGAAGGAAAAUGUCAUUUUUAGCCUGAUGCCCUUUUAUGAAACCCGUAAAUCUCUGCAGCGCCGCCAGCAGGCCCAGAGGGGGUCGUUACACGGCAGAAAAUCAUAACUCUCACAUAUAACAUGCACUGUUUUGGGAUUACGUUUGUGAUCAGCCCACGGUGCCACACAGUGCAGUAGCCCCCGACUGACUAUGAGCAGCACUUUCUGGAUGUGCAAAAAGCAAAAGCUCCCCCCUUGUGAACAACAGUUUGUAAUGCUUCAUGAUUCAAAGGGAUGUGAAGUCACUUUAUUUACACAGCCCAAGAUCCCAAAUCAUAAACGUGCUUCAAGCGGUGUUACAAUCUGUGCAGCACACACUGUGCUCACACACUGAAUGCUGAGCAGGCCUCCAGUACGGAUAUUUGCAUGUCAGGUAAAAUGGGUCUGGGAACUAUUUCUCAAGCUGUCUCCAAUGAGACACACACACACACACACACACACACACAACACAGACUUUCAUUUCCAUCUUUCCCUAAAAAGGAAACUGUUCAACCCAGAAUACACUCAAGCAUUACAUUACAUGUCCACACAGCUGCGCUGCGAAUUCAAAAACUUCAAGAAACACACUUCUGCUUCGCAGAUGAACAGAUGCAGGAAGGCACAUAACCGAUGCUGUCUGUGUGUGUGGCAGAAACCCAAAAAACAACAAUAACGUGGAUUGCCAGAGCACCAUUUGAAGUUGAAAAGGUUUAAACUGUCCAGUCAGUCAUGGACUGGGUGAGCCUAACCAAGUUAGGUCACAGUACCAGGGCAUCAUGUAGAACCAAAUCAUGGGAGAUCCAUUUAAUAAAGAGAGGCAUUGACAUUAGCGCGUGAUACCCUGAAACCAAGAACCAAGGUGUGAGCCCUUCAAAUUUACACUAAAGCAGAAGGUCUUCGCAGUCCGUCAUGUUGGUACGUUGGACAAAGGCCAGCAUGGUUCACACAGCCAGCGGAAGAGUUCCAAACCGGUCCACGGUAUGGACGACCUCGGUUUUGCACUCAGCAGGAGUCAGAGAAGUGAGCCAAAGGGGUUGGUCGCAUUCUGCAACAACAUCACCAGACCGCACACCGGCCCUUUAAGAACACACUGAGUGCUCUUCAGGUCUUCAGAAGCAUGGCUGUCAGACUCCGGCCAAGGGUAUAGGGGGGUCCAGUGCGGCCCGCCGGAUGACUUUUGUGAGAAUUACAGAAAGACAUACAUUGCAUUCCUAUAGAAGUAGUUGCUAUUCCUAUCAGUCCACUGGGGGUUGUACUGAGUGAGUGAGCACAUGCAUUAGACCAGGGGGACCGGGUCGAUCACCAAGGCAGUGCCUGUAGAUUGCCUGCCAUUGGAAAAAAAAAUCCUUGCUUACUACAAGACUAAUACAGAGCCCCCCACGUCGCCCAGACCACAAACCGCCCCAUGCCCCAUCGACCGAAACAUCCGCAUAUGCAUCUGCAUAUGGUUUGUGUUAUGGGCAGUGGUACCCUGCCGGUUGUACGUUGGUCAUAGUGAGGGGGUAGAUUAAAGCCAAGUGACUAAAGGACGGUUUUGCUUUUACGUCAAACAGGGAAUAUGGGAAUACAAACGUAGUGACGGUGAAAGUUUCAAACCAAAUCACUUUUAAUAACCAAGGAUCUACCUGGAAAGGGAGCCGGCUCAAGGUCAAGAGACAUCCAAACGCUAUGGACUAGGUACAUCAUGGGCUAGGUACAUCAUGGGCUAGGUACAUCAUGGGCUAGGUACAUCAUGGACUAGGUACAUCAUGGGAUAGGUACAUCAUGGGAUAGGUACAUCAUGGGCUAGGUACAUCAUGGACUAGGUACAUCAUGGGCUAGGUACAUCAUGGGCUAGGUACAUCAUGGGCUAGGUACAUCAUGGGCUAGGUACAUCAU
ensembl:lncRNA